rnacentral:rRNA from 1 species
AUCCUGGCUCAGGAUGAACGCUAGCGGCAGGCUUAACACAUGCAAGUCGAGGGGCAGCAGUCUGUAGCAAUACGGAGCUGGCGACCGGCGCAAGGGUGCGUAACGCGUGAGCAACUUGCCCGUAACAGGAGGAUAACCGGAGGAAACUCCGACUAAUACUGCGUAGCAAUACCCGGUGGCAUCGCCGGGUGUUUAAAGGCGAAAGCCGGUUACGGAUAGGCUCGCGUGACAUUAGCUGGAUGGCGGGGUAACGGCCCACCAUGGCGACGAUGUCUAGGGGUUCUGAGAGGAAGGUCCCCCACACUGGUACUGAGACACGGACCAGACUCCUACGGGAGGCAGCAGUGAGGAAUAUUGGACAAUGGUCGGAAGACUGAUCCAGCCAUGCCGCGUGAAGGUUAAGGUCCUAUGGAUUGUAAACUUCUUUUGUACGAGAGGAAUAAGGGUGACGAGUCAUCCGAGGACAGUAUCGUACGAAUAAGCAUCGGCUAACUCCGUGCC